GACGAACGCUGGCGGCGUGCCUAAUACAUGCAAGUCGAGCGAAUGACUAGAGAAGCUUGCUUCUCUAUGAUUUAGCGGCGGACGGGUGAGUAACACGUGGGUAACCUACCCUAUAGACUGGGAUAACUUCGGGAAACCGGAGCUAAUACCGGAUAAUACUUCGAAACACAUGGUUUGAAGUUGAAAGAUGGUUUCGGCUAUCACUAUAGGAUGGACCCGCGGCGCAUUAGCUAGUUGGUGAGGUAACGGCUCACCAAGGCAACGAUGCGUAGCCGACCUGAGAGGGUGAUCGGCCACACUGGGACUGAGACACGGCCCAGACUCCUACGGGAGGCAGCAGUAGGGAAUCUUCCACAAUGGACGAAAGUCUGAUGGAGCAACGCCGCGUGAGUGAAGAAGGAUUUCGGUUCGUAAAACUCUGUUGCAAGGGAAGAACAAGUAGCGUAGUAACUGGCGCUACCUUGACGGUACCUUGUUAGAAAGCCACGGCUAACUACGUGCCAGCCGCCGCCGUAACAC
rnacentral:rRNA from 1 species